UACGGGGGGGGCAAGCGUUGUUCGGAAUUACUGGGCGUAAAGGGCUCGUAGGCGGCCAACUAAGUCGGAUGUGAAAUCCCCAGGCUUAACCUGGGAACUGCAUCCGAUACUGGAUGGCUUGAAUCCGGGAGAGGGAUGCAGAAUUCCAGGUGUAGCGGUGAAAUGCGUAGAUAUCUGGAGGAAUACCGGUGGCGAAGGCGGCAUCCUGGACCGGCAUUGACGCUGAGACGCGAAAGCGUGGGGAGCAAACAGG
rnacentral:rRNA from 1 species